rnacentral:misc_RNA from 1 species
AACGUAGGGGCCGAGCGUUAUCCGGAAUUAUUGGGCGUAAAGCGCGUGCAGGCGGCUGCUUAAGUCGGACGUGAAAGCUCCCGGCUCAACCGGGAGAGGCCGUUCGAAACUGGGCAGCUGGAGGCUGGUAGAGGCGAGUGGAAUUCCCGGAGUAGUGGUGAAAUGCGUAGAUAUCGGGAGGAACACCAGUGGCGAAGGCGGCUCGCUGGGCCAAGCCUGACGCUCAGACGCGAAAGCUAGGGGAGAGAACGGG